rnacentral:rRNA from 1 species
UGCUCGGUGAAAAAUUUUUAACAGCUGCGGUAUUUUAACUGUACUAAGGUAGCAUAAUAAUUUGCCUUAUAAUUUGAGGCUAGAAUGAAUGGUUUGACGAAGGUUAGUCUGUCUCUAUUUUACUUUUUAGAAAUUAAUUUUCAUAGUGAAAAAGCUUGAAUUUUUUAAAGGGACGAGAAGACCCUAUUGAGCUUGUAAUUUUAUUAGUUACCAGUUAAUAUUAUAUAUAAAUAUGGUAACUUAUAAAUUUUAAUUGGGGUGAUUAAGGAAUAAAUGUUUAGUUAGUAACUUCCUUAGAUUAAUAAAUAAAUUGUUAAAUGAAGUAACCAAUAAAAUUAAAUGUAUAAAUAUUGCUUAUAAUAUAGUUACCAUAGGGAUAACAGCGUAAUUUAUUUAGAGAGUUCUUAUUGAAAAAUGAGAUUGCGACCUCGAUGUUGGAUUAAAGUAACCUUAAGGUGCAGAAGCUUUAAUAGGUAAAUCUGUUCGAUUUUUAAAACUUUACGUGAUCUGGUUCAAAAC